CGCGGGGUGGAGCAGCCUGGUAGCUCGUCGGGCUCAUAACCCGAAGGUCGGUAGUUCAAAUCUACCCCCCGCUACCA
rnacentral:tRNA from 1 species